rnacentral:rRNA from 1 species
CACGAACCGUACGAACGUUAUUCGGAAUUACUGGGCUUAAAGGGUUUGUAGGCGGCCAUGUAAGUCAGGUGUGAAAUCCCUCGGCUCAACCGAGGAACGGCGCUUGAUACUGCAUGGCUUGGGGGAGACAGGGGUAAGCGGAACUGAUGGUGGAGCGGUGAAAUGCGUUGAUAUCAUCAGGAACACCGGUGGCGAAAGCGGCUUACUGGGUCUCUUCUGACGCUGAGUGAGCGAAAGCCAGGGGAGCAAACGGG